GCGAAACCUCCGCAAUGCGAGCAAUCGCGACGGGGGGACCCCAAGUGCCACUCUUAACGGGGUGGUUUUUCAUAAGUGUAAAAAGCUUUUGGAAUAAGAGCUGGGCAAGACCGGUGCCAGCCGCCGCGGUAACACUGGCAGCUCAAGUGGUGGCCGUUUUUAUUGGGCCUAAAGCGUUCGUAGCCGGUUUGAUAAGUCUCUGGUGAAAUCCUACAGCUUAACUGUGGGAAUUGCUGGAGAUACUAUCAGACUUGAGGUCGGGAGAGGUUAGAGGAACUCCCAGGGUAGGGGUGAAAUCCUAUAAUCCUGGGAGGACCACCUGUGGCGAAGGCGUCUAACUGGAACGAACCUGACGGUGAGUAACGAAAGCCAGGGGCGCGAACC
rnacentral:rRNA from 1 species